UACGGGGGGAGCAAGCGUUACUCGGAUUGACUGGGCGUAAAGGGCGCGUAGGCGGCUUGUACAGUCAGACGUGAAAUUCCUGGGCUCAACCUGGGGGCUGCGUUUGAUACGUAUGGGCUUGAGUUCGGAAGAGGGUCGUGGAAUUCCCAGUGUAGAGGUGAAAUUCGUAGAUAUUGGGAAGAACACCGGUGGCGAAGGCGGCGACCUGGUCCGAUACUGACGCUGAGGCGCGAAAGCGUGGGGAGCAAACAGG
rnacentral:rRNA from 1 species